CUAUUUUACAAAGUGUUAUGAUUUACACUUUCUUCAUCAGUUUAUUUGUUACCCAAGUGUUAUUGAAGAGCAUACUGUAUGAUCUUUAACCUGUAGCCAUUGUAAAUUAAUAGGUUGUUAAACCAGGUUUACUGUUGUGAUUUGAUGUGUGAAGGUAAUAUGAUCUGAUUUACAGCUUGUUUUUUUAUGUCCAUAUGUAAUUAUUGUGAAGGUAAUAUGAUCUGAUUUACAGCUUGGUUUUUUUUAUGUCCAUAUGUAAUUAUUGUGAAGGUUAUAUGAACUGAUUUACAGCUUGGUUUUUUAUGUCCAUAUAUAAUUAUUCACCUAGUCAAUUGGAGUAAGUACAAUCAUUUGUUGUGAUGUCUUACUUAAUUCUUAUAAAGUAUUAUGACUUUUUAGGGCAGCCUAAAGGUUUCAAUUUGUUUUUUAAUUUGCCUGAAUUUUUGUUGUUGAGAUUAACACCUAAUAUAACUUAUCUACUGACAUGGAAUUCCAGAACAUAUAUUUUUUUUUUAUCAAUAUUCAUUUUGCAUUGUUUAUAUGAGCUUAGAAAUUACUAAAGCAGACAUUUUCUAUGAAUGAAAGAUGAACUACUAUAACUAGAUUGAUGGUGCUUCACAUUACAAACAUCAAGGUAUAUCAUGGUGCUCAUGGUGUAUGUUUCUUUUUCUUUGAAUUAUAUUUUUGACUUUUAUUUUUGAUUGUCCUGUUUGUUUACCAGUUAUAUAUCUCUUUUUAUUCAUUUUAUAAACUUUAUUUUUUUUCGUAAAUUAUGACAUGAGUAGAAUAAACGAAUAUUGAACUAAACAGGUCAUUUAGUUAUUCAUUUACUUGAAAAAUGUAUGUAAGAAAUUUUACAAAGAUAAGCUGCAUAGACCAUGUAGACUCCACAUUCGUUAUGUUAUCCAGAAGUAUUAUGUUUAACAUAUGUGUGUAUAUAUAGGGGGGUUUAAACAUGUUUAACCCCUGCUGCAUUGUUGCGCCUGUCCCAAGUCAGGAGCCUCUAGUCUUUGUUAAUCUUUUAUGAUUUUAAAUUUUAGUUUCUUGAGUAUGUUUUUCGAGUUAUGACGUCCAUUUUCACUGAACUGAUAGAUAUUUUUGUUAAGGGGCCAGUUGAAGCACGGCUCUGUGUGAGGGAGUUUCUCGCUGUAUUGAAGACCCAUUGGUGGCCUUUCAGCGUUUGUCUUCUCAUUGGUUGGAUUUUUGUCUGUUUGACACAUUAUCCCUUUCCAUCUCAAUUUUAUCAAUAACCAUACAAAAAAUAAUGAUUAGUAAUUAGUUUUAUUAUCACUCAAUUUAGGUAUCUGUAAAUGCUACAGAUAAAAACUAAGAAGUGAACCUGAUGAAGUGUACUAAAAUACAGAAAUAGUAAUACCGGUGUCUGUUUAUUCUUUUAUGCUUUAGUUUUGAAUAUCAUAUUAAUUUGUACAGAAUCCUUUCUACUAUUCUAUAAGGAUGUUAACUAGACUAGUGACUAGAGGUAGCUGUCAAUUAAGUUAAGCAGCUGAAAGCAUUUUUAGCAUACUAGUUAAAAACAUAAUUAUGAUGAUCAAGUCAAAUAGUUUAGAUUGUAUUUUAAUUAGUUUUAUUUGCAAUUCAAUGUUUUCAUGGAUCUGCAUAUCACAAUGUAUUACUGUUUUUAUUCUAAAUGCCACAAAAGUUAAUACCAAAUAAAAUACCAGGAAAAGCACAAGUCAUUCAGUCGCAUACGGUUGACCAACUUGUAAUGGAAAUGAUUUAAUUUUGAGACUUCAGCAAGCACAAUGAUAAAGCAAAUACAAGAAUGUAAAAGUUGGAACAUCUAUAGUAUCAUUACAGGAGAAUUCAUUUAAGAAAAAAUAAUACAGAAUGUAAGUUAGCAACAAGUCUGUCACAGAUAUGUAAGCCAAAAAAUAAGUUAGUUUAUAGUGUUAAAAGCUAAAUGUUUAAAUUAAGUAGCAUAAUCUAUUCUAGUAACAUAUUUUUACAGUUUCUAAUGUUGAAUUUAACCGGUGAGACCUAAUGGUUCACAACAUGUUUCUCUUAUAAAUUGGCAAUUUGCUGUUAAAGAAGACCUGUAUUUGCAUUCUGUGACAAAAUAAAAUACUAAAAUUGUUCAUGUAUACUGACUACAAUUUACCAGAAUGUACAUUUGUAACGUUAUGUUUCAAUUUGCGUAUUCAUUAACUGUGAUGAGAAUAAAAAACACCUAUUGUAAUUGAUUGGUAUUUGUUUUUUUUCGUUUACUUGUAGUUCUGUUAAUAGUAUGUUGUCUUAAGGAGGCUCGGAUGUCUUCCUCCAUCUUGGAUUUUGAAGAAGCAGACAACUUUGGUCUAGAUAUUUGAUGAAAUGUGCAAAUUUUGAGAGUUGUUUGUAAUUCCUGUAAAAGAUUGUUGAUAUAAAUAUAGAAAAUUGUGUGUUUUUAUCAUAACUACAGCUGUAAUUUCUCAAAAACACCUUGUUUGUUUUUUAAUUUUGCCAAAAAAGGAGAGAUAACUCAGAUAAAGUAAUUUUUAUAAUGGAAAGCGUUAUGAAUUUACCUAUUUUGAUAUGUAGCAAGAAAACAAGUUCGGUGACCACAUUUUUUCUCUUUUUUUAUCUGAAAGUAUAUUAUAAGAGCAAUCUUCUCACAUUUUUUCUUAAAGUUUUAAUAGUACGUUUUCUUUUUAUCACACAAAAUUUUAUUUUCUACGGAUAAUCUAUAAAAUCUGACAAUUUUACACAUUCUGUAGCAUGAAAAAAGUCUGUUGACCCAUACUUUUGAUAUAUUUUUGAAAAAAGCAUGAUAAAAACUUCAUUUUGACAAGUAAUCAAUUUUAAUUAAGACUCCCUAGCCACCUUUAACAUUAAGUGUACCUCCAUCGUCGACACUUGUCUUGUCAUUGUGAUUUUCAUCUGUCUAUAAUAUUCAGAAAUCACUUGGACAAUUUUUGUUUACAGUCAACCUCAUAUUUAUAAGGGUUUUCUUGUCUAUAAAUCAACAAGGUCAACAGUCACAACUUAUAUAACACAGGGUUUAUAUGCAAAAAAGUAGUACUCUGACCCGUUUUAAAUUUUGAAUAAUUUCAGUUGAAAGUUCGGCAAUUAUUAGUUUUAGAUAAAGUUCAGUUUUUGUUUUCACAUGCAAUGAUGUGAGUUUUUUUUAUUCUCAUCACAGUUAUACAUUGUGUUAUAAUAAUGAUAAAAAUAAUAAUAAUAAUACUCCAUUAUAACUUCAGUUACAGUUUUGGUUUUGCUUUUUUUGAUGCAACAAUCAAUGCAGUUUUUCUUUUUGUGAUAUUUGUCAUUGUAAAUAAAAUAUAAUUUUGUGCUGACAUUUCUUUAUUAUUUCAUUUUGUUAAGCUGUGGAUUGCAAUGUCAAAAGAGUAACUCAUUUUUGUUAAUAAAACUUUCGUGUUAUUCAUUUUCUUGUGGGAAUAUGUUUCAUUGGCAAUUAUACCUUAUCUUUUAAUAAUCAUCAUAUAUAACAGGCUUAAAUAUUGCUCACCAG
rnacentral:lncRNA from 1 species